ACGGGGUGCAGCAGGCGCGAAAACUUUGCAAUACACGAAAGUGUGACAGGGCUAUCCCGAGUGCCAUCCGCUGAGGAAGGCUUUUACCCAGUUUAGAACGCUGGGAGAAUAAGGAGGGGGCAAGACUGGUGUCAGCCGCCGCGGUAAUACCAGCUCUCCGAGUGGUGUGGAUGUUUAUUGGGCCUAAAGCAUCCGUAGCUGGCUGGGCAAGUCCCCUGUUAAAUCCACCGAUUUAAUCGUUGGAGUGCGGGGGAUACUGCUCGGCUAGGGGACGGGAGAGGCAGACGGUAUUUUCGGGGUAGGGGUGAAAUCCUAUAAUCCCGGGAAGACCACCAGUGGCGAAGGCUGUCUGCUAGAACGUGCCCGACGGUGAGGGAUGAAAGCUGGGGGAGCGAACCGGAUUAGAUACCCGGGUAGUCCCAGCUGUAAACAAUGCGAGCUAGGUGUUGGAGUAACUACGAGUUGCUCCAGUGCCGCAGAGAAGUUGUUAAGCUCGCCGCCUGGGAAGUACGGCCGCAAGGCUGAAACUUAAAGGAAUUGGCGGGGGAGCA
rnacentral:rRNA from 1 species